AUAAACGCUGGCGGCGUGCUUAACACAUGCAAGUCGAACGAAGUUUUUCCUUCGGGAGAAACUUAGUGGCGGACGGGUGAGUAACGCGUGGGUAACCUGCCCUGUACAGGGGGACAACAGCUGUAAACGGCUGCUAAUACCGCAUAAGCCCUUAGCACUGCAUGGUGCAUAGGGAAAAGGAGCAAUCCGGUACAGGAUGGACCCGCGUCUGAUUAGCCAGUUGGCAGGGUAACGGCCUACCAAAGCGACGAUCAGUAGCCGAUCUGAGAGGAUGUACGGCCACAUUGGGACUGAGACACGGCCCAGACUCCUACGGGAGGCAGCAGUGGGGAAUAUUGCACAAUGGAGGAAACUCUGAUGCAGCGACGCCGCGUGAGUGAAGAAGUAUUUCGGUAUGUAAAGCUCUAUCAGCAGGGAAGAAAAUGACGGUACCUGACUAAGAAGCACCGGCUAAAUACGUG
rnacentral:rRNA from 1 species